UUACUUUGUACUGUGGUUCAUUAAAUAGGAAUGUUGAUUUCCACACCAUGUUAAAUUUAAGGCCAACCAUGACAUAAAAAAUAGCUAUUAUGCUUGAUCUAUUUUAUUGUUAAGGAGAAAGGGAUGCCUUGAUUAUUGUAUUGGUUUUUUCCUUCUUUUUGUUCCAACAGAUUGAAAUUAAAGAGCUGAAAGAAGUUAACAACAUGAAGCAGAAAGUCCCAUGCAGGAUGAUGCUUCUCUACAGUGGGUGAUGAAGGCAUGCUGGUUUACAAACUCAGGAGAGGAACAAAGAAGAGAUAUUGAUGGGAUCAUAUCUAGAGAUGCGGGCCUACUACACUUCAUACGAGCAAGUGUGCUAAUAUACAUACUUGGGUUAUCACUACAGCCCUUUCUUCUGAAAACUAGGCUACAACUUUAGUGAUGAAUGCAGAAGACAUAUA